rnacentral:rRNA from 1 species
CCGGCUAUACGAUUGGUUCNGGAUAGCCGACCCUCCCGGGGGCCGGCGAGGAAAGACAUUUGAUACUGGCYUGGGGUGCGGCCGAAUGAUGGUCGCCCCUCUCCGAGAUCACAACUCAUGUUUAUGAAAGACUGGGUGUUAAACCACUUGCAUACGACCUGAUUCUGGGUCAGGGUGUCGUAAGUAGCAGAGCAGCUUUAUGACUGCGAUCU